UGCCUCUUUAGAGUUUUAUUUUGAGUUAGUACUAAUAAAUUUAUAAUUUAAUUAUUAGGUGAUCGAGAUCAACUAUUUUCCUGCAUCCAGCAGCCACAAUAGUCGACGGUGUACUGUGAUCGAGAUCAACUAUUUUUCUGCAUCCAGCAGCCACAAUAGUCGACGGUGUACUGCCACAGGAGGAGUUAUUUUACAAAGCAACCUGUUUUCUUCCUCGCAGGUUUAACGUCGAUUAUUUAAUUGUUGCACUAUCUUUUCUAAAUUUAAAAUCUAGAACUCCGCAUGUGUUAGUAA